CACGUAGGCGGAUUGUUAAGUCGGGGGUGAAAUCCUGGAGCUCAACUCCAGAACUGCCUUCGAUACUGGCGAUCUCGAGUUCGGGAGAGGUGAGUGGAACUGCGAGUGUAGAGGUGAAAUUCGUAGAUAUUCGCAAGAACACCAGUGGCGAAGGCGGCUCACUGGCCCGAUACUGACGCUGAAGUGCGAAAGCGUGGGAGCAAACA
rnacentral:rRNA from 1 species